UACGAAGGGUGCAAGCGUUACUCGGAAUCACUGGGCGUAAAGCGUGCGUAGGCGGUUCGUUAAGUCUGCUGUGAAAGCCCUGGGCUCAACCUUGGAACUGCAGUGGAUACUGGCGGACUAGAGUGUGAUAGAGGAUGGUGGAAUUCCCGGUGUAGCGGUGAAAUGCGUAGAGAUCGGGAGGAACACCAGUGGCGAAGGCGGCCAUCUGGAUCAACACUCACGCUGAGGCACGAAAGCGUGGGGAGCAAACAGG
rnacentral:rRNA from 1 species